rnacentral:ncRNA from 1 species
UUAUUGGAGAGUUUGAUCCUGGCUCAGGACGAACGCUGGCGGCGUGCCUAAUACAUGCAAGUCGAGCGAAUCUGAGGGAGCUUGCUCCCGAAGAUUAGCGGCGGACGGGUGAGUAACACGUGGGUAACCUGCCUGUAAGAUUGGGAUAACUCCGGGAAACCGGAGCUAAUACCGGAUAAUAUUUCGAACCGCAUGGUUCGAAGUUGAAAGGUGGCUUUUGCUACCACUUACAGAUGGACCCGCGGCGCAUUAGCUAGUUGGUGAGGUAACGGCUCACCAAGGCGACGAUGCGUAGCCGACCUGAGAGGGUGAUCGGCCACACUGGGACUGAGACACGGCCCAGACUCCUACGGGAGGCAGCAGUAGGGAAUCUUCCGCAAUGGACGAAAGUCUGACGGAGCAACGCCGCGUGAGCGAAGAAGGCCUUCGGGUCGUAAAGCUCUGUUGUUAGGGAAGAACAAGUACCGUUCGAAUA